GAGUUCGCUGUGGAUCCUCCUGAGCUGAGCCUUCGACACACCUGAAGCCCAUCUCGUCAUCAGGAGGAUCCUCCACCAUAUAAGCAGCCCUCAGACCUCGCAUCAACGCCGCAGUGUUUAUCCAGUUUGGAAACCUGUUUUUGUCCUGUAAGCUCUGGAUGAGCUUAACCUGUCGAGCCUGCCCUCUGAGCCAAACCUGAAGACCCUUCUCUGGAUUCCCAUGCUGCUCUGGACUAAGAGCUGGAAUACCAAGGUCUGUCCAAACGUUAGAUGCAAGACGCUGAAGCUGAAACAGAACUCUGCUGAAUUAAACAGUCUCUGGACCCAACAGUGCCUCUCUCAAAGCCAAACCCGGAUUCUUCAAGAGUUUGCUGUGGAUCCUCCUGAGCUGAGCCUUCGACACACCUGAAGCCCAUCUCGUCAUCAGGAGGAUCCUCCACCAUAUAAGCAGCCCUCAGACCUCGCAUCAACGCUGCAGUGUUUAUCCAGUUUGG